GCCUAGGAGAGUUUGGAUCAGUGCGGGAAGCCCAGCUGAAGCAGGAAGAUGGCUCCUUUGUGAAAGUGGCAGUGAAGAUGCUGAAAGCUGACAUCAUUGCCUCAAGCGACAUAGAAGAGUUCCUGAGAGAAGCAGCUUGCAUGAAGGAGUUUGACCAUCCACACGUGGCCAAGCUUGUUGGUGAGCCCAUUUGGAGGAGGCAGAUAUAGAAUAGGGCUAAAAAUAUGCUCCACCAACGUGAGAGGGUAGCCUGGAGGAGAAAAGUUUGGCUACCCAGUGAGCAAGCAGGUAGUUGGUGAGGUCCUGUCUGAAAUCUGGCUGGAAGGAGCUGAGCUCCAAACUGCUCAUGUGGGCGGAGGAGAAACAGAGGAGGUAACACUCAGAGCAAGGGCCAGCAGGCCGAGCAGAGCCCUUCAUGGGUAGUCCCCAGGCAGGAGUAACAGUGCCAGGGCUAGAGAUGGAAGCCAGGAGGUAGGGAGGGCCUGUGGCAGAUACCUAGCUGUCCUUAGGUCUUUGUGUGCCCAGUUCUUGACUUUCCCUUGUCUCCCAGGAGUGAGCCUCCGGAGCAGGGCUAAAGGUCGUCUCCCCAUUCCCAUGGUCAUCCUGCCCUUCAUGAAGCACGGAGACUUGCAUGCCUUUCUGCUCGCCUCCCGAAUUGGGGAGAACCCUUUUGUGAGUGCCUCAGGUGGGGGUGGCCAGGAGGAACUGGGUGGGAGACCGAUCCCUGUAAAAGG
rnacentral:lncRNA from 1 species